GCUAGCGUUUCCACUAUUCCAAAAACUUUCUGUGAUGUGCUAGGUUUCCAUAAACUUGAUGAUUGUUCUUCGAAUUUGCAUCUAGCGGAUUCCACUAUAAAUAAACCUAUGGGAAGGAUUAAUUAUGUUAUUAUUGUCGCAAAUAGGAAUUAUGUGCCCAUAGAUUUUAUUGUGCUUGAUAUAGAUUGCAAUCCUACAUGUCCUAUUAUUCUUGGUAGACCUUUCCUUAAAACGACUGGUGUAAUUAUUGAUAUGAAAGAAGGAAACAUUAGAUUUCAAUUUCUGUUAAGGAAGGGCAUGGAACUAAAAUUAAGUUUCCAUAUGAAUCUAUUAUGA
rnacentral:rRNA from 1 species